rnacentral:rRNA from 1 species
GGGUCUAGACUUAGCAGAGAUGCUUUGGUGCCUUCGGGAACUAUGAGACAGGUGCUGCAUGGCUGUCGUCAGCUCGUGUUGUGAAAUGUUGGGUUAAGUCCCGCAACGAGCGCAACCCUUAUCCUUGUUUGCCAGCGAGUAAUGUCGGGAACUCCAGGGAGACUGCCGGUGAUAAACCGGAGGAAGGUGGGGACGACGUCAAGUCAUCAUGGCCCUUACGAGUAGGGCUACACACGUGCUACAAUGGCGUAUACAGAGGGCUGCCAACCAGCGAUGGUGAGCGAAUCCCAAAAAGUACGUCGUAGUCCGGAUUGGAGUCUGCAACUCGACUCCAUGAAGUCGGAAUCGCUAGUAAUCGUGGAUCAGAAUGCCACGGUGAAUACGUUCCCGGGUCUUGUACACACCGA